rnacentral:rRNA from 1 species
UACGUAGGGUGCAAGCGUUGUCCGGAAUUAUUGGGCGUAAAGAGCUCGUAGGCGGUCUGUCGCGUCGGCUGUGAAAACUCGGGGCUCAACCCCGAGCCUGCAGUCGAUACGGGCAGACUAGAGUUCGGUAGGGGAGACUGGAAUUCCUGGUGUAGCGGUGAAAUGCGCAGAUAUCAGGAGGAACACCGGUGGCGAAGGCGGGUCUCUGGGCCGAUACUGACGCUGAGGUGCGAAAGCGUGGGGAGCAAACAGG